rnacentral:rRNA from 1 species
UUAGGCAUAUUACUAAGGGGAGGAAAAGAAACUAACAAGGAUUCCGUCAGUAGCGGCGAGCGAAGACGGAAGAGCCCAGCGCUGAAUCCCCCGGUCCGGUCUGGGCCGGCGGGAAAUGUAGCGUUAGGGAGCGUCCGUCAGCCCGGGCGCGCGCGGCGAGCCCAAGUCUCCCUUGAACGGUGCCACAAUCCAUAGAGGGUGCCAGGCCCGUACGGCCGCCGCCGCGUCCGAGUGGGCGUCUCCUAGGAGUCGGUCUGCUUGAGAACGCAGACCUAAGCGGGUGGUAAACUCCAUCUAAGGCUAAAUACGACCACGAGACCGAUAGCGCACAAGUACCGUGAGGGAAAGGUGAAAAGAACUUUGAAGAGAGAGUUCAAGAGUACGUGAAACUGGAGAGGUGAAAACGGAAGUGGCUCGAUAUUCCGAACGGUGGUGUUCAGUCUCACCGUCGUCGGCGCCCGCGCCCGGGAGACCCAAGGGUCCCGUGGUCCGGCGCGUUCCGGCCCCUCGCGGGUCGGUCGCGUCGCCCGGUCCCCUCCCGCGGCGCCGGGUCCCAAAGGUCCGACGCGGUGUGGAUGCACUCGCUGCCGUAGUAGGAUGUCGCGACUCGUCGGGUGUCGGUCGCGAGGCCGGUGGAGGCUUAGCCCGGUGUCCGUGUGUCUCGCACCCCUGGGGCGAAAUGCGAGCAGUGCGGCCCGGACUCCUGCCGGUUACUCUCCGACUGCCCGACGGUAUCGAAAGCACGUCGGCCGUAGCGGCCCGCUGUCACGGCCCGGUCCCCGCCCUCCGUGGCGAACCGGGCAGGCGGUGUCCGCGACCGCGAGGGCCCCUAGCGCCCCGCGGGAAUCGGCCGACUGUCUGCGGCAUUGCCUGAUUCGGGUCCACUUCCGACCCGUCUUGAAACACGGACCAAGGAGCGUAACACGUGCGCGAGUCGAAGGGUGCUACUAAACCCGGAGGCGAAGCGAAAGCGUAAGGGGCGAUGGCCAUCAGGUCGUGCUCUCCGGUCGCCGGCCUCGUGCCGCGCCUCCGGAACCGGCCGGCCCGCAGCCCCGGGGCACCUCAUACGGCUCUGCCGCUUCUAUCAGACCCCCGUGUCGUCGCCUAGGCGCAAGCCGAAAGCGCGCCGGGGGCCGGGGCGGCUGAGUCGAGGCGCACCUGAGAGCGUACGUGUUGUUACCCGAAAGAUGGUGAACUAUGCCUGGCCAGGACGAAGCCAGGGGAAACCCUGGUGGAAGUCCGUAGCGAUUCUGACGUGCAAAUCGAUCGUCGGAGCUGGGUAUAGGGGCGAAAGACUAAUCGAACCAUCUAGUAGCUGGUUCCCUCCGAAGUUUCCCUCAGGAUAGCUGGCGCUCGGAGGACCCGGGAAGGGACGAAUGAGUCUCAUCCGGUAAAGCGAAUGAUUAGAGGCCUUGGGGCCGAAACGACCUCAACCUAUUCUCAAACUUUAAAUGGGUGAGAACCCCGGCUUGCUUGAGCAGGGGGGUCUCCGGCUUGGAAUUCCGCUCCCAAAAGGACGGCCGAGUUGGUCCCCCCGAACCCUGUCGUCAUGAAGCCGGGGAUCUUUCACGACUGGAUCAUGAGUGCCAAGUGGGCCAAUUUUGGUAAGCAGAACUGGCGCUGUGGGAUGAACCAAACGCAGAGUUAAAGCGCCUAAAUCGACGCUCAUGGGAGACCAUGAAAGGUGUUGGUUGCUUAAGACAGCAGGACGGUGGCCAUGGAAGUCGGAAUCCGCUAAGGAGUGUGUAACAACUCACCUGCCGAAGCAACUAGCCCUUAAAAUGGAUGGCGCUGAAGCGUCGUGCUUAUACUCUGCCGUCGGUGGCAAAAGCGGCCGGUAAGGUGGACGGACCUCCCCUGGCGGGGAGAAACCGGCCCCGAGCCUUGAGGCCCCGACGAGUAGGAGGGUCGCUCGGGUGCGCGCAGAAGGGUCUGGGCGUGAGCCUGCCUGGAGCCGCCCGAGGUGCAGAUCUUGGUGGUAGUAGCAAAUACUCCAGAGAGGGCCCUGGAGGGCUGAUGUGGAGAAGGGUUCCGUGUGAACAGCUGUUGCACACGGGUCAGUCGAUCCUAAGCCCUAGGAGAACUCCUAUGUGCGAUGUGCGGGUGCUUUUUGGCUUGUCAAACACCCCCGCCGCCGGGCGAAAGGGAAUCAGGUUCCUAUUCCUGAACCCAGAUGCGGUACCGUUUUUCCGGGCUUGUCUCGAAGCCGUACCCACCCCGCCGAGGCCUCGCCUCGCGCGGCGGCAGGGGCGCGCCUAGGGCGAACUCGUCGGGGUAACCCGAACAGCCGCGGAGAAGCCGGCAGGAGCCCCCGGGAGAGUUGUCUUUUCUGUAUUACCGCGCAAGUUCCCUGGAAUUCCAUUGCGGAGAGAGAGGGAAUAGCGCGGGAAGAGCACCGCACUUGCGGCGGUGUCGGGGGUGGCCUCUCGGACCAUGAAAAUCCGCGUGAGGGCUACGGAGAACAACCGAUCUGGCUCGUACCCAUAACCGCAGC